GGGAGCUUCUGGGACCCCCUGGAGAUGUUUGAGGGUCACCUUUGAGAAGGUCCAGGGGGAUCUGGAUGGUCCUGGGAGCUCCUGGGACCUCCUGGAGAUGUUUGAGGGUCACCUUUGAGAAGGUUCUGGAGGAUUUGGAUGCUCCUGGGAGCUCCUGGAGAUGUUUGAGGGUCACCUUGGAGAAGGUUCUGGAGGAUUUGGAUGGUCCUGGGAGCUCCUGG